UACGUAGGGUCCGAGCGUUGUCCGGAAUUAUUGGGCGUAAAGGCUCGUAGGCGGUUCGUCACGUCGGGAGUGAAACUCGGGCUUAACCCGAGCCUGCUUCCGAUACGGGCAGACUAGAGGUAGGCAGGGGAGAGCGGAACUCCUGGUGUAGCGGUGGAAUGCGCAGAUAUCAGGAAGAACACCGGUGGCGAAGGCGGCUCUCUGGGCCUUACCUGACGCUGAGGAGCGAAAGCAUGGGUAGCGAACAGG
rnacentral:rRNA from 1 species